AUGCGCCAAGCCAGCUGAGUGGGUCUUUUUAUUUUUUUCGCGCGAAAGUUUAUGUGGUGAACUGUGUUGGUAAAGAUGAAGAUGUCAGUCAAUGAAAUUUGCUAUAUUUCUUGUGUCUAACUAACCCUGUACGGAUCGAACUGACGAUGUCCGAGUGCGACAAAUGUCCUGAAGUCUGCUCCUAUUAGCUAGGUAUCUAGAAAUUUCAACUUGAGUGUCAAGUGAAGACUUUGCCAGUUUCAGACGAGAGAAUUCUCGCUUCACGAUUUUCCUGGUGUGUGGAGGUACGUCUGAAUGCCGACCCACCACACCCGACAUGAUGCUUCGGCAGGAAUGCAGAAAGGAUCAUAUGUAGUGCCUGCUCAGCAUUACAUCCAUUGCGUGGCAGCAAUGUGCCAUCCUUCCGCGACUUGGGUGGAAUGACGCGCAAGUGGUGCUCCAGGGUCAACUUCAAUUUGCCGAGCACGUAUGCCGCUGGCUUGGGGUCAGCAGUUGGGUGCACAGUCCCUGUAUACAAAUCAUGCACUGUCGUCAACAAUAUGGCACCCUUGUCCAGCGAUUCACGUGCUAUAGCGGCAAUGACUAUAUUGGGAAGAUCACUCUCGGCACCUUCCGUGCUGUAUUGAGAGAUGAUGCUUCGCAAUUGGUGGUCUGUGCUUGGUGCACUGUCGGCAGGGAGCAUGUCAAUUUGCUUUCGGUAGCAGCAUCUACAAAAUCGACUCUCGUCUGAAAUCCUGACGUUGUGCAUGCUACGCAACACAUGCUCUGCAAGUUGAAAGUUUGGUGACUUCCACCUGUCCUGUGUUCUGGUGUGAGCCUCGACUUACACCAAGCACAUGUUGCAUGGCCCACACACUGCUGGUAACUUAUGGGCCGGGCACUGAACCGGUUCGCACUGUUCUUUCAGACUGUGCACGUGCAGUUUGUCUGCAGGACAGUGUACGGAUGCCGCUGCGCUGCAAUCAUGUACAUUGCAUGUACUUUGGCAGACUGGUGGCUUAUUUUCUUUCGCUGCUGUGCAUACUUGGCGUCGUAGUGCUUUGACGCACUUCCAACAAAUGCAUUGGCCUGGGCGUUCUCUCACAGACCACACACUGCUGGUAAUGGGUCGGGCACAGAACCGGUUCGCACUGUUCUUUCGGACUGUGCACGCGCAGUUUGUCUGCAGGACAGUGUACGGAUGCCGCUGCGCUGCAAUCAUGUACACUGCAUAUGCUUUGGCUGACUGGUGGCUUAUUUUCUUUCGCUGCUGUGCAUACUUGGCGUCGUAGUGCUUUGACGCACUUGCAAUAAAUGCAUUGGCCUGACGUGAUGGAUGUGCAUGUGUGUAGCUUUUGCCAAUCUGACAGCAUUGAGCCAUGUGUAAAUCGCUUGUCAGAUGGCACUUUGGAGCAAAUGCUGCAUUCUGG